rnacentral:ncRNA from 17 species
UGAGGUAGUAGUUUGUAUAGUU